CUCGCUCCCAUUCGGCUCUGGAAAGAGCGGGUGGAGAGUAGGCGGAGCUGAAUGGAGAGACCGGAAACUGCCUGGAGAGGAAAAUUUCGUCCUCAGUGUGACCCCAGUUUCCGAGGCUUGGAGGCGCCCCCUGGAGGGAAGAGGAGAGGGAGCGGCAGUGGACGCUCUGCGGGCUUCAGGGACCAGCGACCAAAGAGAGGCAUUUGGGACAUUGAGACACUUGCCGUUUCUGACCUGAACACUGGAACUAGGCAGGCAAAUCU